GGUUAAGCGACUAAGCGUACACGGUGGAUGCCCUGGCAGUCAGAGGCGAUGAAGGACGUGCUAAUCUGCGAUAAGCGUCGGUAAGGUGAUAUGAACCGUUAUAACCGGCGAUUUCCGAAUGGGGAAACCCAGUGUGUUUCGACACACUAUCAUUAACUGAAUCCAUAGGUUAAUGAGGCGAACCGGGGAACUGAAACAUCUAAGUACCCCGAGGAAAAGAAAUCAACCGAGAUUCCCCCAGUAGCGGCGAGCGAACGGGGAGCAGCCCAGAGCCUGAAUCAGUGUGUGUGUUAGUGGAAGCGUCUGGAAAGGCGCGCGAUACAGGGUGACAGCCCCGUACACAAAAAUGCACAUGCUGUGAGCUCGAUGAGUAGGGCGGGACACGUGGUAUCCUGUCUGAAUAUGGGGGACCAUCCUCCAAGGCUAAAUACUCCUGACUGACCGAUAGUGAACCAGUACCGUGAGGGAAAGGCGAAAAGAACCCCGGCGAGGGGAGUGAAAAAGAACCUGAAACCGUGUACGUACAAGCAGUGGGAGCACGCUUAGGCGUGUGACUGCGUACCUUUUGUAUAAUGGGUCAGCGACUUAUAUUCUGUAGCAAGGUUAACCGAAUAGGGGAGCCGAAGGGAAACCGAGUCUUAACUGGGCGUUAAGUUGCAGGGUAUAGACCCGAAACCCGGUGAUCUAGCCAUGGGCAGGUUGAAGGUUGGGUAACACUAACUGGAGGACCGAACCGACUAAUGUUGAAAAAUUAGCGGAUGACUUGUGGCUGGGGGUGAAAGGCCAAUCAAACCGGGAGAUAGCUGGUUCUCCCCGAAAGCUAUUUAGGUAGCGCCUCGUGAAUUCAUCUCCGGGGUAGAGCACUGUUUCGGCAAGGGGGUCAUCCCGACUUACCAACCCGAUGCAAACUGCGAAUACCGGAGAAUGUUAUCACGGGAGACACACGGCGGGUGCUAACGUCCGUCGUGAAGAGGGAAACAACCCAGACCGCCAGCUAAGGUCCCAAAGUCAUGGUUAAGUGGGAAACGAUGUGGGAAGGCCCAGACAGCCAGGAUGUUGGCUUAGAAGCAGCCAUCAUUUAAAGAAAGCGUAAUAGCUCACUGGUCGAGUCGGCCUGCGCGGAAGAUGUAACGGGGCUAAACCAUGCACCGAAGCUGCGGCAGCGACGCUUAUGCGUUGUUGGGUAGGGGAGCGUUCUGUAAGCCUGCGAAGGUGUGCUGUGAGGCAUGCUGGAGGUAUCAGAAGUGCGAAUGCUGACAUAAGUAACGAUAAAGCGGGUGAAAAGCCCGCUCGCCGGAAGACCAAGGGUUCCUGUCCAACGUUAAUCGGGGCAGGGUGAGUCGACCCCUAAGGCGAGGCCGAAAGGCGUAGUCGAUGGGAAACAGGUUAAUAUUCCUGUACUUGGUGUUACUGCGAAGGGGGACGGAGAAGGCUAUGUUGGCCGGGCGACGGUUGUCCCGGUUUAAGCGUGUAGGCUGGUUUUCCAGGCAAAUCCGGAAAAUCAAGGCUGAGGUGUGAUGACGAGGCACUACGGUGCUGAAGCAACAAAUGCCCUGCUUCCAGGAAAAGCCUCUAAGCAUCAGGUAACAUCAAAUCGUACCCCAAACCGACACAGGUGGUCAGGUAGAGAAUACCAAGGCGCUUGAGAGAACUCGGGUGAAGGAACUAGGCAAAAUGGUGCCGUAACUUCGGGAGAAGGCACGCUGAUAUGUAGGUGAAGUCCCUCGCGGAUGGAGCUGAAAUCAGUCGAAGAUACCAGCUGGCUGCAACUGUUUAUUAAAAACACAGCACUGUGCAAACACGAAAGUGGACGUAUACGGUGUGACGCCUGCCCGGUGCCGGAAGGUUAAUUGAUGGGGUUAGCCGCAAGGCGAAGCUCUUGAUCGAAGCCCCGGUAAACGGCGGCCGUAACUAUAACGGUCCUAAGGUAGCGAAAUUCCUUGUCGGGUAAGUUCCGACCUGCACGAAUGGCGUAAUGAUGGCCAGGCUGUCUCCACCCGAGACUCAGUGAAAUUGAACUCGCUGUGAAGAUGCAGUGUACCCGCGGCAAGACGGAAAGACCCCGUGAACCUUUACUAUAGCUUGACACUGAACAUUGAGCCUUGAUGUGUAGGAUAGGUGGGAGGCUUUGAAGUGUGGACGCCAGUCUGCAUGGAGCCGACCUUGAAAUACCACCCUUUAAUGUUUGAUGUUCUAACGUUGACCCGUAAUCCGGGUUGCGGACAGUGUCUGGUGGGUAGUUUGACUGGGGCGGUCUCCUCCUAAAGAGUAACGGAGGAGCACGAAGGUUGGCUAAUCCUGGUCGGACAUCAGGAGGUUAGUGCAAUGGCAUAAGCCAGCUUGACUGCGAGCGUGACGGCGCGAGCAGGUGCGAAAGCAGGUCAUAGUGAUCCGGUGGUUCUGAAUGGAAGGGCCAUCGCUCAACGGAUAAAAGGUACUCCGGGGAUAACAGGCUGAUACCGCCCAAGAGUUCAUAUCGACGGCGGUGUUUGGCACCUCGAUGUCGGCUCAUCACAUCCUGGGGCUGAAGUAGGUCCCAAGGGUAUGGCUGUUCGCCAUUUAAAGUGGUACGCGAGCUGGGUUUAGAACGUCGUGAGACAGUUCGGUCCCUAUCUGCCGUGGGCGCUGGAGAACUGAGGGGGCUGCUCCUAGUACGAGAGGACCGGAGUGGACGCAUCACUGGUGUUCGGGUUGUCAUGCCAAUGGCACUGCCCGGUAGCUAAAUGCGGAAGAGAUAAGUGCUGAAAGCAUCUAAGCACGAAACUUGCCCCGAGAUGAGUUCUCCCUGACCCUUUAAGGGUCCUGAAGGAACGUUGAAGACGACGACGUUGAUAGGCCGGGUGUGUAAGCGCAGCGAUGCGUUGAGCUAACCGGUACUAAUGAACCGUGAGGCUUAACCUU
rnacentral:rRNA from 1 species